CAGCCAUCAACUGGGUGCAGACAUCCUGACUAAACUGCUCUGAUUUAAGCUGAAAGUGUUGUUUUAAAACUCUGAGUCUUCUGGGACUGAUUGCUGUAACCGACAUGCCCUGGGAGAGCAAGCAGUCUGUCUUCUUAACAAGGCACAACAGGAUUGAUCAGAGCCACCGUCCUCUAGCUUCACUCUUCUUUAUCAUGCAGAAGAGAUGAAAUACAUGAGCAGACUGGCUACAUGAAUCUUGGGGCUCUUAUUCAAACAACGCAGGAGGAACCAAGUGGUGCCUUAAAGUUCUUCAAGAAAGAAUAUUCGCUCUCAUUCAUGUGUGUAUCAGCCUUUAUUAUCGAUGUUUUCUCCUCUGUAGAUGAAGAUUGCCACAUCUUCAACUGCGUGCUGCUAAGCCGCUUCAGUCGUAUCUGACUCUGUGCGACCGCAUGGACUGUGGCCCGCCAGGCUCCUCUGUGCGUGGGAUUCUCCAGGCAAGAAUGCUGGAGUGGGUUGCCACGCCCUCCUCUAGGGGGUCUUCCCAACCCAGGGAUGGAACCCACGUCUCUUAUGUCUGCCUGCUUGUCAGGUGGGUUCUUUAACACCAGCACCACCUGGGAAUCCCUGUCUUCAACUGAAGAGUUGCUAAAGAGCUGUGUGAUGUAUUUUUCCUCUUUUCAUUUCUGGGCUUUUCCAUGUUUUUCAGGAAGGGUAUAAGCUAUUUAAGGACAUCAUGUAUGCUAUUAUUCCAGUAUAAGGUGGUUUUUCACUCCCUUUCUGUGUAUUCAAUGCUGCCUUCAUUCACCCAGUAGAUUGAUCAGUAGAUUGAUUUUUCUCUGCUGCCAGCCAGCAGUUACACACAGAAAGAGGUCCUGAAUACUCCAUCCACUUAGGGAAGCUCUUUCAUACAUUCUGUGCCACACAAAUAUCUGUUAUUUUGUAUUAUUUAUGCGGCUGUCAUUUCUGUAAGAUUUCACAUAGCUUAUUCUUUUGUCAGAACAGGGACGCCAUUCAGAUUUCAUCUGCUGACACACUUGGGCAUCCUUGGAGAAGCUGGGAGGCAAUGUAUGGAGCCAUCCACAUGGGGCUCAGCAGUUCCCUGGGCUUUCUCAUUCUCCCAUUUCCUGCCCUGCCUUCGCAAGUUUCUACAGAGUCGCAACCAGGAGAGACAGAACAGAGCAGAGAAAUACGGAAAGAAAAGGAACUGCUUAUCAAGAUAUCAUUUUUGAUUCCAAGCUUAAUCCAGUCUUACCUGACUUCCAUCCUCAUCACUCCACUAAAGCCAGUGUGCUCAGUGCUCAAUUGUGUCUGACUCUGCGACCCCCAUGGACUGUAGCCUGCCAGACUCCUCUGUCCAUGGAAUUUCCCAGGUAAGAAUACUGGAGUGGGUUGCCAUUUCCUCUUCCAGGGGAUCCUCCUGACCCAUAAAUUGAACCUGCGUCUUCUGUGUUUCUUGCAUUGGCAGGCAGAUUCUUUACCACUGAGCCAGCCUGGGAAGCCCCACUAAAACCAAAGCCCUCCUUGUAAUUAAAUGAAAUAAGCAUUUUCCAGUCUUUGUCUGUCUUGGUGGUCUUCCCCAGUGGCUCAGUGGUAAAGAAUCCACCUGCAAUGCAGGAGACAUGAGUUCAGUCCCUGGGUCAGGAAGAUCUCUUGGAGGAAGAAAUGGCAACCCACUCCAAUACUCUUGCCUGGGAUAUCCCAUGGAUAGAGGAGCCUGAGGGCUACAGUCUAUAGGGUUGCAAAGAGUCACACAUGACUGAACAUGCACAUGUGCAUCUCUCUUGAUAUCUCAGCAGCAUUUGAUACCACUUCCUUCUUGAAAUCAUGCUGACCUAUUAGACUCUAAGGUCUCAAAUGCUCCUGGUUCUCCUUCUGCCCUUCACCUACCUUCUGUGACAAUUCCUUGUUUUCCUCCCAUCCCAUCAGUGUUGUCCUAGUCUUCUUGUUCUUAUCUCUUGUCUCAAUGCCCUGUCUUAUUCAGUGAAAUAGUUUACUUCUAUGAUUUCAAUUGUGGUGCUAACGACUCUUACAUGUUCUUGCUACCCUGACUGGUAGACUCGCAGGUCUUCAUCUGUACUGCCCAUAGGCACCUCAAUUUCAAAAUGUCCGAAGUCUAUUUUAUCAUCUUUCCUAUGAACCUAGUUUCACAUUUUUUUAGUGUCAUCAUCACUGCCACCCUCUGCAUAGUUGCCCGGGCUUGUAACAUGAUCAUCAUCAUUGAUUCCAGAAUCUUCAGCUUCACCUUGCCUUUUCUCCUCCCUCAUAUAUAAUCAAUCAAUGGGCAUCAUGUUGACUCCUAAGUAUUUCUUGUAUCUUCCUGUUGCUUUUCUUCUCCACUUCAAGUUCUAAGUUUCACCCACCCUCAUGGACCUACCACUCCAGAUUCCUAUGUAAUACUAUUCUUUACAGCAUUGAACUUUACUUUCACCGCCAGACACAUCCACAAGUAAGCGUCGUUUCUGCUUAGGCCCAUCUGCUUCAUUCUUUGUGGAGCUAUUAGUGAUUGCCCUCUGCUCUUCCCCAGUAGCAUAUUGAACACCUUUCAGCCUGGGGGGCUCAUCUCCCAGUGUCAUAUAUUUCUGCCUUUUCAUACUGAUCCUGGGAUUUUCAAGGCAAGAAUAUUGGACUGGUUUGCCAUUGCCUCCUCCAGCGAUCACACUUUGUCAGAACUCUCCACUAUGACCCACCCAUCUUGGGUGGCCUGCAUGGCAUAGCCCAUAGCUUCACUGAGUUACUCAAGCCCCUUUGCCAUGACAGGGCUGUGAUCCUUUAAGGGGAAUUAGUGAUAUAAACAGGCACCAUUUUUAGAAAAUGUCUCCUCCAAUUGAUUGGAAAAUAAAGAUGCUAAAAAGGCAGUGCUUAGAUGAGUUCUAAUGCAACUCCAUGGGUCUUUGGGCACCUUUACAUGUAAAUGGCUCACUUGUAGAAAUGAUGGUGUGUGUUUGUGUGUGUGUGUGUGUGUGUGUGUGUGUGUGCAUGCUAUCGAACCCAGGUCUCACACUGCAGGCAGAUUCUUUACCAGCUGAACCACCAGGGAAGCCCUAGAAUCUGACAAACCUUGGUUUAUCCAGUUACCAAAGAA
ensembl:lncRNA